CCGCAAGGUUGAANUCAAAGGAAUUGAGGGGGCCNGCACAAGCAGUGGAGCAUGUUGUUUAAUUNGAAGCAACGCGAAGAACCUUACCAGGUCUUGACAUCCUCUGACAGUCUAGAGUAGCCGUUCCCCUUCGGGGGACAGAGUGACAGGUGGUGCAUGGUUGUCGUCAGCUCGUGUCGUGAGAUGUUGGGUUAAGUCCCGCAACGAGCGCAACCCUUGAUCUUAGUUGCCAGCAUUCAGUUGGGCACUCUAAGGUGACUGCCGGUGACAAACCGGAGGAAGGUGGGGAUGACGUCAAAUCAUCAUGCCCCUUAUGAUCUGGGCUACACACGUGCUACAAUGGGUGGUACAAAGGGCAGCGAAACCGCGAGGUCAAGCUAAUCCCAUAAAGCCACCCCCAGUUCGGAUUGCAGGCUGCAACUCGCCUGCAUGAAGCCGGAAUUGCUAGUAAUCGCGGAUCAGCAUGC
rnacentral:rRNA from 1 species